UAAUCUCUCGAUAGCAUUAAUAGCCGGCCCAUGCCCGAGUUCUGCUUCCCACCCGAGUUGCCUCGCCGCCGGCUCGCACACCAGAUCCCCUGCUCUGCCGCCGUCUCACCGCGAAUCCUCCGACCAACGAGGUCUCUCCGCUCCCCGACCCCCCCGGCCAUCGACGUGAUCUCGCAGCUCCACCUCACGAGCCCGCUCCAUCCGCCUCGCACCUCCAGCUCCGACACACAUCGGUGGACCGCAGCGCCAUCGUUCCUCACUCGAGCCUCCCCGCCGAGCAGCAUGGCUACCAUCCACUCCACCAACGCUACCCCGCCCGAUUCUGCCGAGUUUUCUCAGUCGCUAGGCUAUCCCAUCUACUGAAUCGGCUCCAUCCCCAUUGAUUUGGAUCGGCCAGCCGGAGUAUUGGCUUUUGGAUUUCUAAAUUGCGGCCCUAUUUUGAAGCUCCUCAAUCCUGAAUCAAAGGUGACACUCAACAAUGACUAAAAAGGAGUCAAUCAUGCUACAGAGUUGAUAUUCAGCUGAUUUCUCUACAACCUGGUGUGUUGUAAAUAUGUCGACUGCAAUAUAACGGAGAUCGUGAUUGCCUUGUUGAUGAUGACAAGCUCACAGUGCAUGUGAGAUGGUCCGUUCAACGUCCUCUGUGAUGCUGGCUAGAGGGAUGUGAAAACAAUGUUGCUGUAAUAGUUUGUAUUUUAUUGUUUAACUAAGUAUAAUAUUAUUCAAUGUCGCCUGUUUUUUCAAAA